UUUCCAGUCCUGUGAUGGUGCCCACAACCACAGACACUUGGCAUCAGAGGUGUCUGGGGCCCUGCAGGAUUGAAGCCU
rnacentral:pre_miRNA from 1 species